rnacentral:lncRNA from 1 species
UAAAAUGAUAAAUAUUAAAGGGUUAAUUUCAUACAGCUCUAUGUAAAUAUAGUGAAUGACAAAUAUAUUUUUACAAAGUUCAAUUUUUAUAUAUUGUUCAUAAAAAAGUCAUAAUAUUUUUAAAUAUAUUUUAUCUCUGUCGAUAAAAUUGGUUAGAAAAAUUUAGUGAACCAUAAGUUGGUUAGUUUUUUAUAUUUUUAUCCCUCUUAUAUUAUACUGUUAUGGCUGUUGGAAGGACGUAUUUGUGAUGGCAAAAUUAAAAAUAUAAAUAGCUCUCUAACGGUUCUUUAACGGUAAUAAACUAGAGAAAAAUAUUUAAAAAUAUUAAAAUUUUUACAGAAAUAACAUAUAAAAAAUUAAACUUUAUAGAUAUAUAUUCAUCAUUCACUAUAUUUGUUGAGAUCUGUAUGAAAUUAACCAUACAUUAAAUGAGGAGAAGUGAAUUUUAGCUUGUCACUUUUUG